rnacentral:lncRNA from 1 species
GGAAUUUCCCAACAUCCAGAAAUGCAUCUGGGAUUUCAAAGAAUCGAGCUAUCCAUUUUGUUCAACUGGUUCCUGCGAACUCAAAUCUGGAGUUGUCUCCUUGUCCUUAGGAAGGGACCGAAUUGGAACAUAAACAAAUCCUUUAGGUAGCCGCUGAUUCUUCAUAGAUGCUUGAUCUGAUGUCAUCACCAACUCUUUUGCCAAAGUUUCAGUAUGCUGCAUUAUUUAAAGUACUAGCAAUUGACUAUGAUGCUUAAAAGAAAGAAGAGAAAACUCAAAUCACAACCCCCUCACAAACAAACACUUACUUUUCUAUAUUUUGAACGCUUUUCCGUGUCAUCCGAAACAUUCCUUGAUGCAACAGAAAGUCUCUGCGGAAUUUGCUUCCCAGAAAAUGAAAUCCUCUCAAUAGGCUUUGGCGUCGAAAGGUUUUGGGAUGUAGAACUGUCAUCUGUUUUUCCGUCAUUGUCCGUGAACAUGGAAAGCUUAACUCGCCUUUUACCUGAAGUAGUGCUAUCUACUGUCAUGUCAUCUGCUAUUUGCACUAUUUCACUUCCUGGUUUGUAGUCAUCGGUGGUAUAACCCUUGAUUGAGGUUGUAGCAGAUUCUGAACUAACAUCAGGUUGAUAAAAAGGAUGACGAGCCAAAGCAGACAGAACAGUGUCUCGACUUGAAGCAAGAAUACCAUGAGAACAAAGAGCCAAUUCACGCUGCAAGCAGAGAACAGAAGAAAAUGAUCAUGUGACAGUGACAGAACCACCAAAAAGGCCAAAUUGGCACAUCUUAUACACAAAAACAUAGCAGCACCAGUGAUAUACUUCUGUUGGAAGGAAAACUAGAAAGACAAGACAAAAGAUCAGUAUGGGGGAAGACAAUCAAGGUGGAGGCUCACUUUCAAUUUCUCUCGUUUGACAAUUCUUUCACAUAGAAGACGCAAUCUUUCCAAUUCAACCUGCAUAAAAUAAUCCAUAGUAUAAAGAGAACAAAUGCAUCAAAAUGAAAGAGUUCAUUGUAGCCACAAAAAGAUAACAAGCGAUAGAAUAACAUAAACCAACAUACACAGCUGAUUUGUAGUCGUUUUUAAAACAACAGAGCCAGCCAACCAAGAAAAUAAAACAAAGAAUAAGCAGGUAAAAGAUAGGUCUAUUUAAAUAAGAUGAAAGGCCAUAGAAACUGCCAUCCAUAAGAACACAACAAAUAACAUUGACAACUAAAUUAUUAACGACAGACACAAGAAAAACCGGCACAUUCAAUCUCUUCAUGGUCUAGAAACUCCAAACAAGAAGAGUAAUAUCAAUACUGUUAAUGCGUUCACAAGAUUAACAAAAAAAGGGGGAACGUACAGAUUUGGAUUCCGUCAAUAGAGAUUAAGAAUGCAUAAAAGAAAAAAGAUACAUGCACCUCCCUGAGGGUCAAUUGAAGGUAGACAAACGAAGGUUCUGAAAAUAACAUUGUCCUCCCCUCAGUGUUGAGAUGGAAUUAAAAAAAAAAUUCCAAAACAAUUCAUAAACCCUCUACCCUUUGCAUAAAAAGACCAAAAAAUCAAAAAAAAAAAAAAAGAGAGAGAGAAAAAGAACCACCAAUCUUUAUCUCCAAAGAUGAAAAAUUCAUACUCCCACCAAGCUAACUGCAACUGCUAUUGUCAUUUUUUUACCUUGUGCAGAAUCUUCAUAAUAAAUAUUGACAUUGUAAAGACAUGACCCAAUUGCAAAAGGAAACCCUAUCUUCUUCCUCUCAAUCUCCAUAAUUUCAAUCCAUGAUCUUCAUCAUGACGGGUUUGUGCCACCACUGCCAUUACAUAAACAAGCUUGAAGACCUGAAGCAGCACGGCAAUACCUUCCCACAGAUUUAUACAAUUACAAGCAUAGCUUCAAUUGCCUUUUCCAGCAAGGAAAAUAAAGAAACAAAAAUUUCGGUAAAAAGCAACCUAACUAGAGCAAAUUGAGAUACAUGCAAUGGCAAUACUUCCCUAACCCACUGUACAGUGUACGUCCUCAGACAACGCAUGUACAACAUUCCCCGUCAAGACGAGGGAGGCCAGCCAUUCUCGAGCACAGUACAUGUUAGUGCCAAGAAAGAGAACAUUCCACAAUGGGAAUUUCCCAACAUCCAGAAAUGCAUCUGGGAUUUCAAAGAAUCGAGCUAUCCAUUUUGUUCAACUGGUUCCUGCGAACUCAAAUCUGGAGUUGUCUCCUUGUCCUUAGGAAGGGACCGAAUUGGAACAUAAACAAAUCCUUUAGGUAGCCGCUGAUUCUUCAUAGAUGCUUGAUCUGAUGUCAUCACCAACUCUUUUGCCAAAGUUUCAGUAUGCUGCAUUAUUUAAAGUACUAGCAAUUGACU